CAGACCUUCACAGGCACUGCGUUCUCUCCUUUGUCCCCGAGCAAUUUUGGAAGAGUUGAGUAGGCUUUCACAGCAUCUUGGUAUUUUACUUAUUGCAAGCUCCAUUUUUCCGUGGAUUUCCUGUUUCUUCUCCUCUGAGGAUACCUGCCGGUCGAAUAUGAAAUAUGCCUGAGCUCCGUACAGCACAGCGGUGACCACGUGAGUCGCUGUCUUGUCUUCAAACACGCUGGUGUGAGACGCUUUCCCUUUGGCCAGGUUUGAAAUCGCUGGCUGUGAGCACCCAAGACGGCGAGUCACGGUACACUGCCCUAGUCCAGCCUCCAACAUGCC